rnacentral:rRNA from 1 species
GACGAACGCUGGCGGCGCGCCUAACACAUGCAAGUCGAACGGAGCUGAGAGAAGCUUGCUUUUCUUAGCUUAGUGGCGAACGGGAGAGUAACGCGUGAGUAACCUGCCCUGGAGUUGGGGACAACAGUUGGAAACGACUGCUAAUACCGCAUAAGCCCACGAUCCGGCAUCGGAUUGAGGGAAAAGGAUUUAUUCGCUUCAGGAUGGACUCGCGUCCAAUUAGCUAGUUGGUGAGGUAACGGCCCACCAAGGCGACGAUUGGUAGCCGGACUGAGAGGUUGAACGGCCAAGUUGGGACUGAGACACGGCCCAGACUCCUACGGGAGGCAGCAGUGGGGGAUAUUGAACAAGAGGGGAAACCCUGAUGAAGCGACGCCGGGUGGAGGAAGAAGGUUGUCGGAUUGUAAACUCAUGUCGUUAGGGACGAUAAUGACGGUACCUAACAAGAAAGCACCGGCUAACUACGUG